CUGAAAAUGAUGCAUAACAUGUCGGCUGAUGGUUAGUGAUGGUGUAUGUAUUCAUACUGUCUGAUUCAG